AUCAUCCAGUGUCAAAAUCACCCUUUAGGAGGCACUUGAAGACCAGUGCCCAAUAUGCACAGGAACAUUUCCAGUGUCAGAAGUAGACCUGCCAUGCCAGCUUUUGUGGAGACAGGCUCUCCAAGGAAGGUGAUUUUCAGGGGAUUGACUGGAAUUCCUGUUUUUUUUAUGUUUCCACAACUUCAGACGUGUUAUCUCGUGACAGACUUCAGAUGUCUUUGUGGUGUUUAUCUGUGCUGCUGCAUGACGAAUCACAUCCUCCUCACUGUAAAAAUAAAUAAAUAAAAUCAUAUACAUGUAUAUAAAAACAAUAAAGCUAAAUUUUCAGCAUCAUUACUCCAG